rnacentral:rRNA from 1 species
UGUCAUAUUAUAAUUUUUAUGGUAGUACCUGCUCUAUGUAUAUUUUUAUAAAUGGCCGCAGUAUCUUGACUGUGCAAAGGUAGCAUAAUUAAUUGCCUUAUAAUUGAAGGCUUGUCUGAAUGGUUUGACGUGGUGAUUGCAAAUAUUUAGUUUUUUUGUGAAAUUGGUAUGGAGGGCACAGAAACCUCCGAUAUUAAUUAGACGGAAAGACCCCAGGAUCUUUUGUUUUUGUCUGGGGCAGAUGAAAAUUUUUCAUUUUUAUUGUGACCCUUUUUGGUUUAGUGAUUUAAGUUACCCUGGGGAUAACAGUGUAAUAGUUUAUUAGAGGCCUUAUCGAAUAAGCUGUUUGCUACCUCGAUGUUGACUUAGGUAAAUAGGCUGGGCGCAGUAGUCUAGUCUUUGGGUCUGUUCGACCUUUAAUGCCUCC